GCCCGGUCGCGCUCGCGCAACUAAGAAAAGUCAAGUGUCCAAUUUCGUUCAAUUUGCUGUGGUUCAACCCUAAGUCUCAGGCUUAAACUAAACAGUAGCCGCUCAGUCCAAAAAGCUCUGCAGUUUCACCAUCCGAUCUCCGACUAGGCCCGCGUUGCAGUUGGAGACGACGGCCUAUGUUCUCCCUCAACAAGCCGGAAAUCUGCUGUUGUAUAACCAAACGUGAUGGAGUCGCCCGAGUUUCCGAACUAAGGACGGAAGCAGGAUCGACGAAGUGAGCAGUCUGCUGCCAAUUAAGAAUGCUGUCAAAAGGCACUCUUCAAUCGUGAGGAGAAUGUCGGGCCUCGCAGCCGCCAGCAGCUCCUAAAUUUAUUUAUA